rnacentral:rRNA from 1 species
GCCGCCGUAGCGCGGUGGUCCCACCUGACCCCAUGCCGAACUCAGAAGUGAAACGCCGUAGCGCCGAUGGUAGUGUGGGGUCUCCCCAUGCGAGAGUAGGGAACUGCCAGGC